rnacentral:rRNA from 1 species
AACGAACGCUGGCGGCAUGCCUAACACAUGCAAGUCGAACGAGACCUUCGGGUCUAGUGGCGCACGGGUGCGUAACGUGUGGGAACCUGCCCUUAGGUUCGGAAUAACUCCCCGAAAGGGGUGCUAAUACCGGAUAAUGUCUUCGGACCAAAGAUUUAUCGCCUUUGGAUGGGCCCGCGUUGGAUUAGCUAGUUGGUAGGGUAAAAGCCUACCAAGGCGACGAUCCAUAGCUGGUCUGAGAGGAUGAUCAGCCACACUGGGACUGAGACACGGCCCAGACUCCUACGGGAGGCAGCAGUGGGGAAUAUUGGACAAUGGGCGAAAGCCUGAUCCAGCAAUGCCGCGUGAGUGAUGAAGGCCUUAGGGUUGUAAAGCUCUUUUACCCGGGAUGAUAAUGACAGUACCGGGAGAAUAAGCUCCGCCUAACUCCGUG